CACUUUUAUACCUUUCAAUUCUCGGGGCUUAGCUAGAAUCGGGCCAUUUAGACAUUGUAUCCUAUAUGCAUGUAUAUUAUAUUAAACACUUGUGACUGGUCCAACGUGAUGUCACACCGCUUCAAACUGUAAUCUAAAGCAGGAAUCGAACCCACAAUUGUCACAAGUUAGGAGGCUAAGUCCGCGGCAACGGCGACACCGCAAUCUGACAAGAUGUACAUUGUGCAUUAUUUUAAGAUGAAUAACAAUAGAGUGAUAGAUACUCCUCAAGAGAUAACGGUGCAUGUAGAUCCUACGUAUACGGCGCUGGUGUGUUUGUUAAACGUACGUCCAGUGGUAUAAUUAUAACGAGCCCGUGGCAAACUAAUCGAAUGGGGCCUCUACAUGAAAAAUCUAUACCUAUAUUUUUUUACGGCGAACUCUUCUUUUGAUUCCAAUACACAAAAAUCUAAGUACUUAGAUUUUACAAUAUUUUAGGGGACCUUAAAGCCUGGAGCGUAACAUUUUGCUAGUCAUGCUGAUGCUACCCUAUAGUUACGGUACUGUAUAACAGUAUACAGCUUACUAUAUUGUUUACAAAGCAAGAAUAGUGAGAGUGUAAUAAUGUUAUGCCCCAAUUUUUUUUUAAGAAGGUAAUACUAGUAAUAAUAUUAUGUAUUUACUUAUUAGUAUCCACAUAAAAUAAGUCAUGAUUUACUGUAGUGUACUGUAACUAAUACUGAUAAUUUUCCGUUCAAAAAUAUUUAGUUUUAAUAUUUUUAUAGUUGUAUACUUAAAUAUAUACGGAACCUGG